rnacentral:lncRNA from 1 species
UGCCCUACACUGGUGCUAUUACUAUGGCCUUGAAGCCACCUUUUCCUUCUCUUUAUCACUAUCCCCUGGUUAUCAGGGGUCUGAGGCCUUCCCACGGCGUCGCCCCCUCCAUGGUCUUUCCUACCCAUGGGUGUCGGGGAGUGGCGCUGUGGUCACCUUGCUUUUGUGUCAUUCCACCUUGGCGACGCCCUGCUAGGCGACGCCUUACCUUGGCGAGGCCCUGCUAGGCGACGCCUCCUCUUGGCGACGCUUCCUCUUGGCGACGCCUGCGCUUGGCGUCACCCCACCUGGGCGACGCCUUACGUUGACUUUGACCUCGACGCUGACUUUGACCUUG